GACGAACGCUGGCGGCGUGCUUAACACAUGCAAGUCGAACGGAAAGGCCCUGCUUUUGUGGGGUGCUCGAGUGGCGAACGGGUGAGUAACACGUGAGUAACCUGCCCUUGACUUUGGGAUAACUUCAGGAAACUGGGGCUAAUACCGGAUAGGAGCUCCUGCUGCAUGGUGGGGGUUGGAAAGUUUCGGCGGUUGGGGAUGGACUCGCGGCUUAUCAGCUUGUUGGUGGGGUAGUGGCUUACCAAGGCUUUGACGGGUAGCCGGCCUGAGAGGGUGACCGGCCACAUUGGGACUGAGAUACGGCCCAGACUCCUACGGGAGGCAGCAGUGGGGAAUAUUGCACAAUGGGCGGAAGCCUGAUGCAGCAACGCCGCGUGCGGGAUGACGGCCUUCGGGUUGUAAACCGCUUUCGCCUGUGACGAAGCGUGAGUGACGGUAAUGGGUAAAGAAGCACCGGCUAACUACGUGCCAGCAGCCGCGGUGAUACGUAGGGUGCGAGCGUUGUCCGGAUUUAUUGGGCGUAAAGGGCUCGUAGGUGGUUGAUCGCGUCGGAAGUGUAAUCUUGGGGCUUAACCCUGAGCGUGCUUUCGAUACGGGCUGACUUGAGGAAGGUAGGGGAGAAUGGAAUUCCUGGUGGAGCGGUGGAAUGCGCAGAUAUCAGGAGGAACACCAGUGGCGAAGGCGGUUCUCUGGGCUUUUCCUGACGCUGAGGAGCGAAUGCGUGGGGAGCGAACAGGCUUAGAUACCCUGGUAGUCCACGCUGUAAACGGUGGGUACUAGGUGUGGGGUCCAUUCCACGGGUUCCGUGCCGUAGCUAACGCUUUAAGUACCCCGCCUGGGGAGUACGGCCGCAAGGCUAAAACUCAAAGGAAUUGACGGGGCCCCGCACAAGCGGCGGAGCAUGCGGAUUAAUUCGAUGCAACGCGUAGAACCUUACCUGGGUUUGACAUGGAUCGGGAGUGCUCAGAGAUGGGUGUGCCUCUUUUGGGGUCGGUUCACAGGUGGUGCAUGGCUGUCGUCAGCUCGUGUCGUGAGAUGUUGGGUUAAGUCCCGCAACGAGCGCAACCCUUGUUCACUGUUGCCAGCACGUUAUGGUGGGGACUCAGUGGAGACCGCCGGGGUCAACUCGGAGGAAGGUGGGGAUGACGUCAAGUCAUCGUGCCCCUUAUGUCCAGGGCUUCACGCAUGCUACAAUGGCUGGUACAGAGAGUGGCGAGCCUGUGAGGGUGAGCGAAUCUCGGAAAGCCGGUCUCAGUUCGGAUUGGGGUCUGCAACUCGACCUCAUGAAGUCGGAGUCGCUAGUAAUCGCAGAUCAGCAACGCUGCGGUGAAUACGUUCCCGGG
rnacentral:rRNA from 1 species